GAUGAACGCUAGCGGCAGGCUUAAUACAUGCAAGUCGAGGGGCAGCAGUUUUGUAGCAAUACAGAAGCUGGCGACCGGCAAACGGGUGCGGAACACGUACGCAACCUUCCUUUAACUGGAAGAUAGCCCACCGAAAGGUGGAUUAAUACUCCAUAACAUAUUGAAGAGGCAUCUCUUUGAUAUUAAAGCUCCGGCGGUUAAAGAUGGGCGUGCGUCUGAUUAGGUAGUUGGCGGGGUAACGGCCCACCAAGCCUUCGAUCAGUAGCUGAUGUGAGAGCAUGAUCAGCCAAACGGGCACUGAGACACGGGCCCGACUCCUACGGGAGGCAGCAGUAGGGAAUAUUGGUCAAUGGACGCAAGUCUGAACCAGCCAUGCCGCGUGGAGGAUGAAGGCCCUCUGGGUUGUAAACUUCUUUUCUUUGGGACGAAACCCCUGUUUCUACGGGGACUGACGGUACCAGAGGAAUAAGCACCGGCUAACUCCGUGCCAUCAGCCGCGGUAACAC
rnacentral:rRNA from 1 species